AUGGCGAUCCGAGGCUCAGCCCCGCCGGGAUCCCAGGGGUGGGACACACUUGUCACCCCCCACCCCCGGGGAGGAGCGGCGGGGGAACUGGGCCCCGGGUCCGCCUCGCACCGUCGUUGGUUCCAGGCCACCUCUGGGAGCAGGGGCCACGGCGCGCCCCGAGGCCAAGGCACUGGGCAGGGAGCGGAGUCGCCGUCGGGGCCUGGGGAGGCCCCUCUUCCCGAGAGGCCCGCCGGAGACCAGCUCUGUGGCCGGGAUGCGGGCCAGGUCCCCGCAGCGGAAGAGCCCUGGCGAGCCCGCCCCACCUGCUGGCUCAGCGUCCCGGCGACCGGGGGGCUCCACACGACCUGCGCUCGUGCGCCUCGGUCCUGGAGGCCGGAGGCCACGGGGCUGCCGUGGAGGCGCUGGGCACCGUGUCGCUGUGCCCCAUGGCUGGAGGGGCUGGCGUGCCCCGCGGGCUCCCAUCAGGCGCCCAUUGUGUCCACGAGGCUGGAGGCCUCUCAGUCCCAGCUCUCACGCCGCCCCCGGGCAUCAGGAUUUCAACCCGAGGCUGGGGGACCGAACUCCCAGCCCCUGGUUGGCCUGGAGCUGCAGCUGGCGCAGCCCGAGGACACGGGGCCCCUGCUGUGCCCUCAGUCGUCUGCCCAGCCCGCCGCCUCCCCACGCGCCGCUGCCGCCUCUCCGUGGGCCACGGCACACAGGAGGGGACAGACUGUAAGCACCGAGUUUGGUUCCAUGGAAGAAACGGGAAGAGGCAGCCGCGGGGCCCUGGCUGCACGAGAGCACCGUGGGGCGGUCGUGACGACGAGUAAGACACAUCUGCCCCCUCCCUGGGGAGCUUGCCACGAAGAAGGUGAGACAGACAAACAGAAACUCCUCAAGGUGCCCAGGAGGUCGGAGGCACCCAAGUGCCCUGGAGGUGGAGGUGGUGUUGGGCGGGAGGAGAACCGGUGCUUCCUAGAGAUCGUGGCGGAGGGCGAGGCUUUCGGGAUGGACGGGGGUGGACGGAGGUCAGGGGGAGCUUUACAGAGACCCUGA
rnacentral:lncRNA from 1 species